rnacentral:rRNA from 1 species
GACGAACGCUGGCGGCGUGCCUAAUACAUGCAAGUUGAGCGAUGAAGAUUGGUGCUUGCACCAAUUUGAAGAGCAGCGAACGGGUGAGUAACGCGUGGGGAAUCUGCCUUUGAGCGGGGGACAACAUUUGGAAACGAAUGCUAAUACCGCAUAACAACUUUAAACAUAAGUUUUAAGUUUGAAAGAUGCAAUUGCAUCACUCAAAGAUGAUCCCGCGUUGUAUUAGCUAGUUGGUGAGGUAAAGGCUCACCAAGGCGAUGAUACAUAGCCGACCUGAGAGGGGGAUCGGCCACAUUGGGACUGAGACACGGCCCAAACUCCUACGGGAGGCAGCAGUAGGGAAUCUUCGGCAAUGGACGAAAGUCUGACCGAGCAACGCCGCGGGAGUGAAGAAGGGUUUCGGAUCGUAAAACUCUGUUGGUAGAGAAGAACGUUGGUGAGAGUGGAAAGCUCAUCAAGUGACGGUAACUACACAGAAAGGGACGGCUAACUACGUG